rnacentral:rRNA from 1 species
CCAAAGAUUAAGCCAUGCAUGUCUUAGAAGAAGGUAGCUGAUCCAGAAUCUGCGAACGGCUCCGUAUAUCUGUUAUAACCCAUCAACACCCCCCCAAGCGGAUAACCCCGGUAAUUCUGGGGCUAAUACGUGAUACACGGGCCCCCCCCUCCGGGGGGGGCCCGGCCUCACGACCCUCACCGGCGGGCCCCUCGGGGCUGCUGCGUGAGUGCUUGUGAGAGUGCCAGACCGCCCAUAAGGCGGCGUGCUUGGGGGGUUCCAGACCUAUCAACUAGAAGGCUCGGGAGAGUCCAGCCUUGGUUAUAACGGGUACAGAGGAUCAGGGUUCGGUCCUGGAGAGGUAGCCUGAGAGAUCGCUACUACUUCUAAGGAAGGCAGCAGGCGCGCAACGUUCCCCAUGGGCAGGUCCCUGAGGACGUGACGGGGCAUAGCAAUACGGCACUAUGUGCGGUAAUUGAAAUGGAGUGUCCUUAAAUAACACUC